rnacentral:misc_RNA from 1 species
CCGAAUACAUUCCGCCGAAUGCCUUGCAUGAUGUGCUGGUCAAUGCCGGUCGCCUGAUCGGUGUCGGCGAUUUCCGCCCGACGUAUGGCCGCUUCGCGGUCCGUGCGUUCGAUGCACUGAAUGACACGGUGUGAACAUGACCGGCCGGUGUUUGUUCUGCGACGGCAAUCCUGACGAGCCGAACCACUUCGAGCGGUGUGACGGUCGCCAGGGUCACGUCGAAGCGCGGUAUCCGGACGCCGCGGGUUGGAAGGAGCCGACGACGAGCCGCGAAGCGGCGGCCACUGUCGACGCCUCUGUCCUGCGGCGCGCUGUCUAUGCGUGUCUUGAGCUCCAUGGCGCGCUCACGUCCGAUGAAUGCGCGCACCGACUCGGCUUAUCGAUCCUCUCGAUUCGCCCGCGGUUCUCUGAGCUCCGCGCGCAGGGGCUGAUCGCUGAUACCGGAGCUCGGCAUCUCAACGCAUCGGGGAAGCGAGCCGUCGUCUGGGCCUUAGUGGCCCAAGGAGUCCACGCAUGAGCACGACCGUAUUUCCGACCGGCGGCCGCAGCACAGUUGAGCAGAUGUGCG